UACGUAGGGCGCAAGCGUUGUCCGGAAUCAUUGGGCGUAAAGAGCUCGUAGGCGGCCUGUUGCGUCCGCUGUGAAAUCCCGGGGCUUAACCCCGGGCGUGCAGUGGAUACGGGCUGGCUGGAGGCAGGCAGGGGAGAACGGAAUUCCCGGUGUAGCGGUGAAAUGCGCAGAUAUCGGGAGGAACACCUGUGGCGAAAGCGGCUCACUGGACCACAACUGACGCUGAGGCGCGAAAGCUAGGGGAGCAAACAGG
rnacentral:rRNA from 1 species